AAGCUUUAACAAAUUCAGGGAGAUAGUAAAGGACAGGGAAGCCUGGCGUGCUGCAGUUCAUGGGGUUUCAGAGUCAGAAGCGACUCAGCAACUGAACCACCACCACCUACUAUUACAAGAAAUCCACAUGGAACAAUGAGAACUAGCGU